CUACGGGGGGCUCCAGUAGGGAAUAUUGCACAAUGGGCGAAAGCCUGAUGCAGCAACGCCGCGUGCGCGAUGAAGGCCUUCGGGUUGUAAAGCGCUUUUCUGAGGGAAGAGGAAGGACUGUACCUCAGGAAUAAGUCUCGGCUAACUACGUGCCAGCAGCCGCGGUAACACGUGGGAGGCAAGCGUUAUCCGGAUUUACUGGGCGUAAAGCGCGUGUAGGCGGUUUGGCAAGUCGGAUGUGAAAGCUCCUGGCUCAACUGGGAGAGGUCGUUCGAAACUGCCAGACUAGAGGGCGGUAGAGGAAGAUGGAAUUCCCGGUGUAGUAGUGAAAUGCGUAGAUAUCGGGAGGAACACCAGUGGCGAAGGCGGUCUUCUGGGCCGUUCCUGACGCUGAGACGCGAAAGCAUGGGUAGCGAACGGGAUUAGAUACCCGGGUAGUC
rnacentral:rRNA from 1 species